GGAUGAUUGAUCGUGCCCGCCAGCUGCCUAAUAUCAUAAUUAACAAAGUUGCUACCGUGUCUGAGAAGUUUAAUCGAAAAAAAUUGCUAGCAGUCCGAUGCUGUUGAUGCCGAUGAGGUGAGAAGUAUGGCAAAGUUGACUUUUGGACUAAUGGAUCUGCAGAACUAUGUGGGCAGAAUAAGAAAUAGUGCACCUGAAUUGCUAAU
rfam:Anolis carolinensis chromosome 5, whole genome shotgun sequence.